UUUUUCUUUCAUUUCUUUUUUUCGGUUCUCAAUUUCAUUCCAUAUUUGCUCAUUUUCUUGCAUCAACAUUUCUUGUCUUUCUUUUCUUCUAUUUUCUUUGUCUUUUUACCUCGUUCUUUCUUUACAAUUUAAAGAUGAUACGAAUGAGUUGGAUCGACAAAAUUUUCAUUCAAAGGAUGGGAAAGCAUCUACAAAGUGGUCACGAUCAGCUCUUCGUGGAGUAUUUCUCCGUGGAUGAACGCCUUGAUGCACCUGAAGAGAUAUAUCUUCCUUCUUAUGUGUCAUCU
rnacentral:lncRNA from 1 species